UCUGAAUACACCGGCCUACCGCGAAAGCCGGAAUUCGCAAAUUGCGGGGAUCUUACUCUUUUACUCUCAUUAAAAUCUAAUUAGAGUGACAGAGAAAAAUGCCCGCAAUUGACGAACUUCGAUUUUCGCGGUUAUAGCCCAGUAAACAAACACGGUCGCGUUUUUAUCCCUUGUCACCAUGCCUGUCACGUUCUAACAAGUAUGUAAGUGCGAAAGGGACGCGCAUAGUGAUAGUCGAUAAAAAUGGGACCGUGCUGAGCCCGCUGGUCGGUACAAAAAGUGGGUAUUUCUUCCUGAUUGGCUCGGAGGCGCUGAAACGAUCCGCGCCAAUUAUUACUUUGAGGCUAAUAUCGCACCCAACCCUUGAUUGAAUUAAUAUUCCAAUAGGUAAUAAGGCUGCUAUGCGUAGCCGGGCAGAGCUGACUACUAGCGCAGUACCUACUCGUGUAUUAUAGAUUAAGUUCAGUACAUUGUAUUCAGAUUUAUUAGCCCCCGGCGGCUAUUUGCGUCGAUCAAAGCAGAUUGAUUUGUUGUAUGUCCAUUGAACUAUAUAUUUAUUCAGCAGGAAUUGAAAGCAAAACAGUAUUAACAAAAUAAAUAAACUAAACAUUAAAACUAAACUCUAAACUAUAUAGGUACACAUAUUUAUUUAGAACUUCAAUCUUGAUAAGGACAUGAUAUCAAUCGCUUACAUAACGAUUCAAAUUUGAAUCAGAGAAUGAAAUAACAUAAUUUCUCGCCCUCAGUAAGAUUUUACGGAUGUCUCACCGUGUCUUCGUCACAAUUAUACUGCUUGCGAAUCGUUUACGCCCAGUGAUCCAGACGUGGCUCGAUCACACGGAAAUUAAUACCUAUAAUAGGCAAUUAGCC